rnacentral:misc_RNA from 1 species
CUUAGUAUAAAUUUUAGAGCUGGUCGGCUUAGACUUUAAUCAAUCGAAUUAUUCGCUAAUGUUACGAGCUUGAAAAUAAUGAAAAAAAUGGAAAUUAAAAAAACGUUGGUUGGAGUUAUAUUAAUAAUUGUAUUAAAUAUUGUCCAAUUCGCUGUCGGUGAUGGAAUGGUGGAAGUUUUUGGUUGGAAGCAAAUGGAUUUUUAUAACCGUGGCGAGCAACUUCUAUAUGGGAGUGGAGAUAGAGAUGGUGGACAUAAGAGUCGCCCGCUUCCUGGCACGAUUGUCUUUCCUGAUCGGCUGCGCAGCUUGGCUAAUCUUGAACAGCGAGACAAACGUGCUGCCGAUGAGCGAAUAACUUCGCGCGAUGAAGCGAAUAAAGUUUUUGAGCCUCGUAUCAACGAUGUGCAGGCGAAUGCUUCCUACAUUCCAUACAACAAUGUACCGAUGGGUGCAACCCAUCAUAAAGGUCGUUUGUUUGUGACAAUGCCACGACGACGCAUCGGCAUACCGUCCACCCUUAAUUACAUUGAUUUACAGAAGGACGGCACACAACAUAGUCCCAAAUUGCAUGCAUAUCCCGAUUUUGAAACGAACUAUUUGAAUCCGAACUUCGAACCAAAUUCAAAUCGCAUCAUUUCGGUAUAUCGCACAUCGGUGGACGCUUGCCAGCGCCUAUGGUUUAUCGAUACCGGCAUGCUUGAAUAUCCCAAUAAUCGCAUGCAGGUACAGAGGCCAGCAAUUUGGGUGGUUGAUUUGACGAAUGAUCGUGUUUUACACCGCUUCGAAAUUCCCGCAAACGUCGUGGAUACCGGACGGGGUCUUGCAAGCAUUACGGUGGAUGUUAAUGAGCGUCGUUGCAAUGAUGCUUUCGCUUAUAUACCCGAUUUAGUAAAUCGACAGUUAUUCGUUUUUAGCCUUAAAGAUAACCGCAUUUGGAGCUUUAGUCACAACUAUUUCAAUUUUGAGCCACUAGCUGGCGAUCUGCAAAUCGGUGGCCAAACCUUCCGUUGGGAUGAUGGCAUCUUCUCCAUCACACUUGGUCCAUAUGGCCCUGACGGUUAUCGGCCCGUUUACUUCCAUCCCAUGGCCAGUAAUACAGAAUUCGUCGUCGAUAGCAGUGUGCUACAGAAUGAAGCGAAUGCAGCGCGCAGCGAUCACGGCAAUGAUUUCCGGCCAUUGGGCAGACGCGGCGUCAACCGACAAUCCACAAUGCAUCAAUAUGACCCGCGCACGGGCAUUAUUUUCUAUGCGGAAAUACAACGGAACGGUAUUGGUUGCUGGAAUACAAAUAAAUCAUUUUCACCACAAAAUCAUGGCACAGUCGCAAAGGAUGCGCAACGCAUGAUAUACCCCAGUGACUUGACGAUUGACGAAGAUGGAAAUAUCUGGGUGAUGACCAAUUCUAUGCCAAUAUUCAUUUAUUCUACGUUGGAUACAAAUGUAGUGAAUUUCCGAGUGUGGAAGCAAAAUGUUUUUGAAGCUGCAAGGAAUACAAUUUGUGCUCCUUAGGGGCCAGUAACAGCGAACUUUAUUAACACAUUCACGAAAUUGUCGAGAAAUAUUUUAUCUAUGAUGAAAAUGCAAAAUUUUCACUUCCGCUGCCAAAACUAUAACCAUUGAUACAAAUAAAUAGUAAGCCUGUUCCAGGUACGACACCUUAUUACGUAGGGGUUAUUAAAGAUGAAAAUAGCCUUUCCUGUAAAUCCUGUCCUGCAAAUCCUUGAACAGGCAAGCAAACACAUUUUAGUUACUUUCCCAUUAUUACCAGCUGCGAAUGUGUUAAAUUAGAUAGCUUGUUGAUGACCGGAUUUUUUUCCAACUUUCCAAAACCUAUGUAUACGAAUAUUUGUACUAAAGGACAAGUAAAUAUAAGUUUUGUUUAAUAUUUCUAGAA